ACUCCCAACCCCUGUGAAUUAUACCUUUAAUUGUUGCUUCGGCGGGACUUCGCGCCCGCCGGGGACCCAAACCUUCUGAAUUUUUUAAUAAGUAUCUUCUGAGUGGUUAAAAAAAUGAAUCAAAACUUUCAACAACGGAUCUCUUGGUUCUGGCAUCGAUGAAGAACGCAGCGAAAUGCGAUAAGUAAUGUGAAUUGCAGAAUUCAGUGAAUCAUCGAAUCUUUGAACGCACAUUGCGCCCGUCAGUAUUCUGGCGGGCAUGCCUGUUCGAGCGUCAUUACGCCCCUCAAGUCCCCUGUGGACUUGGUGUUGGGGAUCGGCGAGGCUGGUUUUCCAGCACAGCCGUCCCUUAAAUUAAUUGGCGGUCUCGCCGUGGCCCUCCUCUGCGCAGUAGUAAAACACUCGCAACAGGAGCCCGGCGCGGUCCACUGCCGUAAAACCCCCCAACUUUUUAUAGUUGACCUCGAAUCAGGUAGGACUACCCGCUGAACUUAAGCAUAUCAAUAGCC
rnacentral:rRNA from 1 species